CCUACGGGAGGCAGCAGUGGGGAAUCUUGGGCAAUGGCCUCAAGGCUGAUCCAGCCAUGCCGCGUGAGGGAUGAAGGUCUUAGGGUUGUAAAGCUCUUUUGUGCGGAAAGAUAAUGACGGUUCCGCUGGGAUAACCCCCCACUAACUUCAAGCCCCCAGCCGCGGUAAUACCAAGGGGGCUAGCGUUGCUCGGAAUCACUGGGUUUAAAGGAAGCGUAGGCGGGUCUUUAAGUCAAGGUGGAAAGCCUGGAGCUCAGCUCCAGAACUGCCUUUGAUACCGAGUAUGUUGAGUUCACUGGAGGUGAGUGGAACUGCGAGUGUAGAGGUGAAAUUCGUAGAUAUUCUGAAGAGCACCAAUGUCCAAAGCAGCACACUGGCCCGAUACUGACUGUGAGGCACGAACUGAUGGGGAGCAAACAGGAUUAGAUACCCUGGUAGUCCACGAUACCCUGGAUGAAUGCCAGCCGUUAAUGGGUUUACUCACUACUGGCGCAGCUAACGCCUUAGUGAUUCCGCCUGGGGAGUACGGUCGCAAGAUGAAAACUCCAAGGAAUUGACUGA
rnacentral:rRNA from 1 species